GUUGUCCGGAGGCAGCGUUGCGCAGGCGCAAUAAGAGAGGCGCUGUGUCGCCACCAACUUAGGUGUUGAUGGGACACUUCUCCCUCUGUCCGCUCCGCUCCUCAAUGCGACUCCUGGUCUUUGCCUUCCCUUGCCCCGACAGUUCUCACCUCCACCCUGCUUGCUCCCUGGCGGGUGCGUUUUCUUUCUGAGUUUUUGGCGCUCUUCGCACCAGUGGCUCCCUGAUUCCAAGAGCCGGGAGUGGAAGGAAGCCCACGCCUGUCUCGCGCGGUGUUUGUGAAGUCAGAAAACUCUUAGGUGGGCCCUGGAAAUCUUUCUUAUUCCUCGAGCAAAUUGGCUGGAGCUGGCAGAAGACUCGGGAAGGAACCAGGCCCUGCCCACUGGACACGGAGCCAGAUGUUUAAACUAUCCCUCCAAGACUCUUGGGGUCUGCUUGCCAGAUUUCAGCCUCUGCUGGUGCAUCACCAAUCAAAAUGCUUCAAAGACCUUCCUUUCUUUUCUUCAUUUGGAAUACUCCACUGGUUAUGCCUAGAGAAGCCGAGGUGGGAAAAUAGUCAAAACAGUCUUUAAAAUGCAAGUGUGCCCCUCUUUUAGCAAUAACCCUAGAAACUUCAUGUCUCAAUAAAGUCAUUUGAAGUACUC